rnacentral:rRNA from 1 species
GCUCCAGACUCCUACGGGAGGCAGCAGUGGGGAAUAUUGCACAAUGGGGGAAACCCUGAUGCAGCGACGCCGCGUGAGUGAAGAAGUAUUUCGGUAUGUAAAGCUCUAUCAGCAGGGAAGAAAAUGACGGUACCUGAUUAAGAAGCCCCGGCUAACUACGUGCCAGCAGCCGCGGUAAUACGUAGGGGGCAAGCGUUAUCCGGAUUUACUGGGUGUAAAGGGAGCGUAGACGGCAAGACAAGCCUGGAGUGAAAGGCGGGGGCCCAACCCCCGGACUGCUCUGGGAACUGUCUGGCUGGAGUGCAGGAGGGGUAAGUGGAAUUCCUAGUGUAGCGGUGAAAUGCGUAGAUAUUAGGAGGAACACCAGCGGCGAAGGCGGCUUACUGGACUGUAACUGACGUUGAGGCUCGAAAGCGUGGGGAGCAAACAGGAUUAGAUACCCUGGUAC